AGUGAACGCUGGCGGUAGGCCUAACACAUGCAAGUCGAACGGCAGCACAGUAAGAGCUUGCUCUUACGGGUGGCGAGUGGCGGACGGGUGAGGAAUACAUCGGAAUCUACUUUUUCGUGGGGGAUAACGUAGGGAAACUUACGCUAAUACCGCAUACGACCUACGGGUGAAAGCAGGGGAUCUUCGGACCUUGCGCGAUUGAAUGAGCCGAUGUCGGAUUAGCUAGUUGGCGGGGUAAAGGCCCACCAAGGCGACGAUCCGUAGCUGGUCUGAGAGGAUGAUCAGGCCAACUGGAACCGGGACACGGUCCAGACUCCUACGGGAGGCAGCAGUGGGGAAUAUUGGACAAUGGGCGCAAGCCUGAUCCAGCCAUACCGCGUGGGUGAAGAAGGCCUUCGGGUUGUAAAGCCCUUUUGUUGGGAAAGAAAAGCAGCAGGUUAAUACCCCGCUGUUCUGACGGUACCCAAAGAAUAAGCACCGGCUAACUUCGUG
rnacentral:rRNA from 1 species